GGGCGAGUGGUGGAAUGGUAGACACGCUAGUCUUAGGAACUAGUGGCGCAAGUCGUGAGGGUUCAAGUCCCUCCUCGCCCACCA
rnacentral:tRNA from 1 species